ACCCAAUAGAUACCCCGGUAGUCCACGCCCUAAACGAUGAUAACUGGCUUUACGGAGUAUCGACCCUCUGUGAGGCGAAAGCUAAACGCGUUAAGUUAUCCGCCUGGGUAGUACGAUCGCAAGAUUAAAACUCAAAGGAAUAGACGGGGACUUGCACAAGCGGUGGAUCAUGCGGCUCAAUUCGAUGACAAACGAAGAACCUCACCAGGGUUUGAAACCCAGACGAAAUCCUUAGGAAACUUUGGACCUCGCAAGACGGCUGGGCAGGUGAUGCAUGGUCGUCGUCAGUUCGUGGCUUGAGUUGUUCCCUUCAGUGGGGUAACGAACGCAACCCGCGUUGCCUGUUUUAUAUGUCAGGCGAGACUGCCCCCUCACGGGGGAGGAAGGUGCGGAUGACGCCAGAUCAGCAUGUCCCUCUGAUAUCCUGGGCUGCACGCAUGAUACAAUGCACAUAACAACGAGACGCAAUACCGCAAGGUGGAGCAAAUC
rnacentral:rRNA from 1 species